CCAGUCUUUGCAUUGACCUGUGCUAGCCAAGGUGGCAUCAUGUGAGUACGAGCAAUGUGUGUGAGAUAACGGGCCUGACCUACUGCUGAAACAAGCAAAACAGUGGUCAUGCCUUUCAAUGCGCCUGCAGCCACAACGUAUUUAGCCCAAUCCCAACCUACAACCUGAAAUGCUACAGAAAAUGGGGCAUCUGGAUCGAUUUGCUGGUAUGGAACCAUGAGACACAAUGUCACGGCUAGCAAACAAUAGAGCAAUGU
rnacentral:misc_RNA from 1 species